rnacentral:rRNA from 1 species
AUUGAACGCUGGCGGCAGGCCUAACACAUGCAAGUCGAACGAGUGGCGGACUGGUGAGUAAUGUAUGGGAAACUGCCUGAUGGAGGGGGAUAACUACUGGAAACGGUAGCUAAUAGCGCAUACCAUCGGAUGUGCCCAGAUGGGAUUAGCUAGUAGCUGGGGUAACGGCUCACCUAGGCGACGAUCCCUAGCUGGUCUGAGAGGAUGACCAGCCACACUGGAACUGAGACACGGUCCAGACUCCUACGGGAUGCAGAAGUGGGGAAUAUUGCACAAUGGGCGCAAGCCUGAGGCAGCCAUGCCGCGUGUAUGAAGAAGGCCUUCGGGUUGUAAAGUACUUUCAGCGAGGAGGCGUUACUCGCAGAAGAAGCACCGGCUAACUCCGUGCCAGCAGCCGCGGUAAUUC